CCUCUCCCCCGCGACGAGCUUCCUCUGCGACUGCGACGAGCGACGAGCGACGAGCUUCUGCUCCGGCGACCUACGACGAGCUUCUCCUCCGGCGACCUGCGACGAGCGACGAGCGCCUCCUCCUGCGAGCAGAGAAUUCCAUCGUCUUCUCCGGCGCCGACAGCGGCCUCUGUCUCGACAAAUGCUGCUCCUUCACCAGUAGCAUAUUCAUCCCGGUUCAUUCUCUUUCCGGGUCUUCCAAGAACUGACCAUUGGGCUCUCAAUAUAGAGGUGAACACUGAUGCUUUGAGAACUUCGGUGGAUCCAUCCAAAGUUCCGCCUUGCCGGUGCCAAUCCACGAAGACAUAUUAUGCCUGAAAUUUCAUGACUUUGUGUU